GAGGAAUGUAUAGCAAUAGCUUGCAUCAUUGUAGAAAUUGCAAGAUCAUGUCAGGUAGAAUUAUGAUAAUGACAUUGUCUGCCUAUGUGUCUUGACCAAAUUACGUGCCAGCAGUCGCGGUAAUACGUAGAAGAAGUGUUAUUCAUGUUUAAUCGGUUUAAAGGGUACCUAGACGGUAAAUCAAGCCUAAACUUAUAUGAAGGGACUAAUUUACUAGAGUUACUUAUGAGGGGGUAUUAAAGUACUGCUGGUGUAGAGAUGAAAUUCUGUCAUACCUCUUUUCAAUAGAAAAAUAAUGGCACAGGUAUAGGCGAAAGCAUCCCCUUAUGUGAUAACUGAC
rnacentral:rRNA from 1 species